rnacentral:rRNA from 1 species
CUCGUAGGCGGUUCAGUUAGUCGGGUGUGAAAUCUCCGGGCUCAACCCGGAGGGGCCACCCGAUACUGCUGUGACUCGAGUCCGGUAGGGGAGUGGGGAAUUCCUGGUGUAGCGGUGAAAUGCGCAGAUAUCAGGAGGAACACCGGUGGCGAAGGCGCCACUCUGGGCCGGUACUGACGCUGAGGAGCGAAAGCGUGGGUAGCAAACA